rnacentral:rRNA from 1 species
UGGGGAAUAUUGCACAUGGGGGAAACCCUGAUGCAGCGACGCCGCGUGAAGGAAGAAGUAUCUCGGUAUGUAAACUUCUAUCAGCAGGGAAGAAAACAGACGGUACCUGACUAAGAAGCCCCGGCUAACUACGUGCC